UUUCUAUUUUUUUUCCUGGCCUACGGACUCGAGCAGCACUGCUCAAACGAUGGAGCGAGUCCGUAGAGCAGUCAGCAGCGCCUUUUCAUUGGCGGCUUCUCGGAAAGCUUUUCAUCGUUUGACUGGUCGCCUCAGACGUGGAAGGAAUCGAGUGCACGUUUUGGUCCCUCAAGGAGAGGUCCUCGCCAGUCAGGACUCCUCGGUCCA